CUCAUUCAGAGCGAUCACCCUUCCUUGAGGACAGAGAUCUUUUUGCUGCCAUCCAUUGUCUGGAACACAGGAAGUGAUCACCCUUCCUUGAGGACAGAGACUUGCUGCAUCCAUUUUCUGGAGCACAUGAAGGGAUCACCCUUCCUUGAGGAAAGAGACCUUCCUGCUGCCAUCCAUUGUCUGGAAACAGGAAGUAGGGAGGUUGGCAAGAAGGGGGAUGCUAGGCCCCCUCUAAGAUAGCCAUGAGGAUUCAUGUGCCUAUGGAUCCUACAUCGACGCCACCAUGUUGUCAUCUCACGCUGGACUGAACUGUGACCCUGAUACCCUUCCUGUGGCCUUUGAUAACAGGAAAGCGAUCACCAUUCCUUGAGGACAGAGAGCUUCUUGCUGCCAUCCAUUGUCUGGACACAGGAAGCGAUCACCAUUCCUUGAGGACAGAGACCUUCUUGCUGCAAUCCAUUGUCUGGACACAGGAAGGU